CAGCCAUUUUUCAUUUUCUCUGUUUGGCGUGGUCUGAGGAUUUGAACCCUUUUGGAUUAAGAAGUGUGCUUCUGUUGGAUGUGUGUUUGUCUUUUGGCCUGUGCAGAAAUGGAAAGGAUGAGCAUUUAGUCUGUCUGCUGUACCACACGCAGGGAGAAUGGCAGCUGGUGGCUCCAUGCUGGUUCAGGAGCAGAAGUCUCAUGCUGUCACAGCUCAGUAACUACAGGGAAUCUCUGCAGCCUCGCUGAAUGCUCUCCUGCUGUAGAGAUGUGAAUGAGGAAAUGAACAAUAAAACUGCCAACUGAACAAGAAGUGUAAUCUGCACUACCAAAAGCAUACUCUCUCUUUAUGUUCUGAAAUGACAACAUAUAAGAAAAUGUCAAUCCCUUCA